CGAAGAGACUGCUGUGCUGACUGUGCUGGUGAGUGACGACUAAAAGAAUCUUGGAGUCUGCCUUCUACGUCCUAAAAAACGUUACGGCCAAGGCUGAUCUGCUGUUCAACUGUUCCUCCGACUGCACAUCUGAAGUAGAGUGACCAUCAGUUAAAGUUGUGAAAUGGCUGCCACGGUGAAGCUUAGAAUCAUUCUAGGCGAAGAAAAUUCACAGAGAUUGAUUCUUCAAGACUUACCA